rnacentral:rRNA from 1 species
CCUACGGGGGGCAGCAGUCGAGAAUCAUUGACAAUGGGGGAAACCCUGAUGGUGCGACGCCGCGUGGGGAAUGAAGGUCUUAGGAUUGUAAACCCCUGUCAUGUGGGAGCAAAUUAAAAAGAUAGUACCACAAGAGGAAGAGACGGCUAACUCUGUGCCAGCAGCCGCGGUACUACGGAGGUCUCAAGCGUUGUUCGGAACCACUGGGCGUAAAGCGUGCGUAGGCGGGUUCGUAAAUCGUGUGUGAAAGGCGCGGGCUCAACCCGCGGACGGCACAUGAUAAUGCGAGACUAGAGUAAUGGAGGGGUAACCGUAAUUCUCGGGGUAGCAGUGAAAUGCGUAGAUAUCGAGAGGAACACUCGUGGCGAAGGCGGGUUCCUGGACAGUAACUGACGCUGAGGCACGAAGGCCAGGGGAGCGAAAGGGAUUAGAUACCCUUGUAGUC